CCACCCCCAGGGCUCUACUUUGGGUCAUCCAUGAUCCUUCAAACCUGGUUCCCACACUCUCUAAGAGAAAACCUUAUCUCCAUCCCCCUCAAAAGCAAUUCUUCAGUGAGACCAAGAAAGGCACAGGAAAAGAGCAAGACCAAAGCAGGUAAGUGGGAGAGAUCACUCUUUGUAGGAGGAGCCCACUUCUUACCAGGCACCUUAUUGUUCUGUAUUCUCUUUCUCAAAGAACUCUGAGGCAGAGGUACUCUUAGCUCCUUUUAAAGAGGAGGCAACUGAGGCUCAGAGAGGUUAAGUGAACUUUCCAAGAUCACACAGCCAGAAAUCAGCAGAAGCAGGAUCUCAGCCCUGGUCCAGUGGGCUCUGGGGCCCCUGUUUCUUUCACUACUUCAUGCACCCUCAGGUUUGGAGACCACCCCCCAAAAGAGACAUCAUCAAGGCCCAGGUGGGGACCCAGGGAUGGGAAGAAGGCAGACCUCAGGCAGCUGGGGCAUGGAGAACAUUCUCCACUAGGUAUAAAAGGCUGCCACAGGCAUUCCCCGCCCUCCACCCUCUGCAGCCAGGUAGGGAAGGGGCCAGAUCACUUGACAGGGGCCACCCUCACCCCAUCCCCCAGCCGGGCCCUCAGCCAUUGCUGCUCAGACUCCCCCUGUAAUCACGGCUUCCUGUUUGGCGCUGAGACUAGGCCUGGUCAGUGGGGGGAGGGGAGCGGACGCCCCUCUGGCCAGGGCCUGCUCUGGAGGGAAGGAGGGGGGCCGGAAGAGAGGCUGACCCAACCUCCUGGAAUCUUGGGAGGCUGGGAGCCAAGGCAAGAGGAGGGGGUGUCAGUCAACAAAUGUUUACUGGGCGGGCGCUGGCCUGAUGUUCCCAGGAUGCAGUGGAAUGUUAGGGGAACAGCAAGACUCGCCAGGUGGUCCAGCCCAGACCCUGUUCUCUGCUUCAGGGGGCAGUUGUGGGGUGAUCAAGGGCCUGGACCCAGGGACAGCUCCUGGCUCCAGCCACCCCGCCUCCCCACCCUAUCCCCG
rnacentral:lncRNA from 1 species